ensembl:lncRNA
GCUGCUGAGUAGAGGUGGCCUUGGGGCUGGGGUUAGGGAGGUGAGGGAAGAGCUUAAGUGUAGAGCUCUGUUAGUUGUGGAAGUGGUAUGCAUUUUUAGUGCAUUCAGCUUUGCUUGGGUUUGGAUUUUCCUUCACUUCCUCUGCAGUAAAGACAUUAUAAUCUUGCAAGUGUUAAUUUUUGACUAGUUCUAGCAUAGACUUAGGACAGGAAGAAGCCUGUUUAGGGCUGUUGGAGUUUGGAUCUUGUGCAAUAUGUGGGAGUUGUGCUCCAGCUAUUUUUCUGUUAGGUAUAUGAGGAAAGACAGAGGGAGUGGAAAGAGCUCAGGCUUUGCUUAUUUUUUAUGCUGCAAACAGUGUAGCCCUGUAGAGGAAAAAGGAUUUGAAGUGUUGACCUGGCAUGUUAAAGUCAUGGGUAGCACUUGACAGCAUUUUCUCUCUUAGAAGUUCCUCAGACAUAUGGGAAGGUGGUCAAGAGCAGGAGCUGCUGCUGCUGCCCUCUUGACUGGAAAUAGUAGAUGCCAGUAGAAUCAAAAACAGGAGAAACAAAUAAUAUGUAGGACAAUUGCAGGAGCUCUCAGAGUCCUGGUGUUUCAGGCCUGCAGAAGCUCAGCCUUGUAUACCAAGCUGUGGGGCUGCCUGAGGAGCUUUCACAAACAGCACUUUAUGUAGCUUAUUGCAAGCUGUGCAGCACUCACACAACCACACAGUAUUUACUGGUUGGAAUUGUUGGGCCAGCUGGACCACAGUGCACACAGCCAUGUGUCUUCCCAGAAGUCAGCUAGAUGUGUUUGCGCAUCCCAGCAAGCUCUGCUUGUGAGUAGUUCAGUGGCCUCUUUCUCCUUUGACUCUGUAUAUGGAAGGAGAUGUGUUAUGUGUAACCGAGCCAAGAAUGGCCCAACUCUGCUCUCUGUACAUUUCCAAGCACCAAUAAGUCUAAUAGUUGUGCUUAUUCUGUGAUAAAUGACGAUAAGCACUGGCUGAGGAAGCUGUUGUCUGUGGAGACAGCAUCCGUGUGUCCACUGACUCCUGUUGUCUCUUACUCUGUGCUGAUGGCACGUGCCAAACCCCACGUUGUCUCAGUGCCAGCUGACCACAGGAUCCAUCCAGCCGACUGCUUUGCGGUGAUGAAUUGCUGUAUUUGCUGCUGGCUGCAUAUGGCAGGCAAAGACGCUGAGAAUUGGAUCAUCUGCCUUCAUUAUUCUUAUGGGAGCACAGAAGGAUCUGAAAACUGUGGUCAAGCCAGACGCUAAGCCCACUCGGAUAAUACACCUUUUAUUGAAGCACAAAGACCGCCUCCAGUCCAAGCUCAGACUUUGGCAUACCAUACUUCGAGUCUCUCCAAAUGCAGAACGAAUUAAAGAUAGG